rnacentral:miRNA from 1 species
GGGUGCAGAUCAAGUGCGAGCU